GACGAACGCUGGCGGCGUGCUUAACACAUGCAAGUCGAACGGUGAAGCGCCUUCCUUUUUGGUGGGUGUGGAUGAGUGGCGAACGGGUGAGUAACACGUGAGUAACCUGCCCCCUUCUUCUGGAUAACCGCAUGAAAGUGUGGCUAAUACGGGAUAUUCUGGGUCUGUCGCAUGAUGGGUCUGGGAAAGAUAUUGUUUCGGUGGGGGAUGGGCUCGCGGCCUAUCAGCUUGUUGGUGGGGUGAUGGCCUACCAAGGCGGUGACGGGUAGCCGGCCUGAGAGGGUGGACGGUCACACUGGGACGGAGACACGGCCCAGACUCCUGCGGGAGGCAGCAGUGGGGAAUAUUGCACAAUGGGCGCAAGCCUGAUGCAGCGACGCCGCGUGAGGGAUGGAGGCCUUCGGGUUGUGAACCUCUUUCGCCAGUGAAGCAGGCCUGCCUCGUUUGUGGGUGGGUUGACGGUAGCUGGAUAAGAAGCGCCGGCUAACUACGUG
rnacentral:rRNA from 1 species